rnacentral:snRNA from 1 species
AGAUGUGAGGGUGAUCUGGCUGAAUCAUCUGUCACCCCAUUGAUCACCAGGGGUGAUAUGGAUGAUCUGACUGUCUAGGUGGGUGUCCCCUUUCUCCCUCACUGCUCCAUGUGCAUCCCUCCCGAAGCUGCGUGCUCUCUGUCGAAGAGGAUGACCAUUCCCGAAUAAAUGAGGAUCAAUCUUCAGUCAAGGGUAUACUAGUAGCUGUUAUUCCCGGCUAGAACCUCCAAACAAGCUGUCAAGAAGUUUUUUUUUUUUUUUACCUGUAAGUUAGGUACAAAAUAUAUUUUAAAUAAUAUAUUUUU